GUGCUCUUCUGAUCUGUUUAAUGUGGCCUAUGUUAUUAGCCUGUGUUUCCAACAGAGUCUGAGGCAAAGUCGAGGAGUUCAUGCUCUACCUGAGUACAAUCCCAGGGUAGCAAAAGUGAGGGGGAAAAAUGAAGCAAGGCAGCCAAAACAGGACAGCAAAUACAUAGUGCACAUUAUUCAUUUGUAAAUAUGGACAUGUCACCAGGUUUGUCUCUGGAUAAGCCAUAUGGAAACACUCAUUUCAGAAUAGUCUGUUGCAGAGAAGAAAGGAGAAUAAUGUAUCUGUUUCUUCUUCCUGUCUCUUGUCUGUCAUUGGUCAACAUUUGCCCCCUGUCCUACGGGUUUAUGUUCUUUAGCCCUCUUGGCAGCUGCUGGGAAGCCACAUACUUGAAAAGUAUUAUGUGAACUAUGAAACAUUAAACACCUAUACUUUUAAACUGUUUUUCUUCUUGGACAUUCAGGAGACAGCAAUAUGCAUAUAAGUGUUUAUUGGAUAAAUAUUAAGUAACUAAAUACUAAUCUGUAUGAUAGAUUUUUUCACUUACAGUUAUUUUGUUAAAAAAUGGAACAAAUAAAUGAAAAGUCUCAAUUCUAACCGACUCAAACACAUAUGUAUUAAUACAAAAUUUACAUAUUGAGAAAUGCCAUCUUAACAAAUUAGUUUAAGAAUUCCCAAAUUUUAUAAUUCAAAGCAUUCUUACUGUGUUUACAAAUUUCCAUUAGAGAAUGCAUUUCAUUUCAGUGAGGUUUCAGUAUGUUUAGAGUUUUCCUAAUUUUUAAAAAAAUAAGUGGUAAUUUAGCAUUGUAUUUUAACUACUAUUAUUAUCUUGUAGCAAAUGGUUUUGCAAAACACAGAAUUACCAUAGUGAGUCACAAUCUAAAUUAGCGGUUUAGGUGGAGUAGGGUUUUAUAGCUAUUUUCUGUGUCUCUACACAUAUCUAGACAUUAAACUGAAAAGUUCUUUGUCAUAGUUUUAUAAGCAUGUGUAAGUUAGCAUAUAGGCUUGACUGCUAGUACAGAGAUCCCAAACAUCAGCUGUUUUACGAUAUGCUAGUUCAGGGUGAGGAAGGAAUCCGCACAGUGUUGGGGACCCAGGCUGCUUCUAUCUUUUCACUUUGUUGUCUCGAGGAUAUUGAUCUCAUGCUUAUGGAUGGAAACCACCAUGUUUAUAUCUCAGCAAAUAGCAGAAGAGGGAGGACAUGCUCCUUUAUUUUAAGGUACUGACCUGGAGGUAGCACAUAUCACUUUUUUGUUUGUUUGUUUGUUUGUUUUUUCUUUUUGUCAGAACUCUGUCAUAGUCAUAUGUACAUAUGUACAUAGUCAUAUGUAGUAGCAAAGGAGACUAGGAAAUGUAGGAUGCCAUAUACCCGGCUAAAAUUCCUAGUGGUAUGGAAAAAAGAAAACAUGGAUUUGGGGAGAUAGCUAACAGUUUCUGCCACAUGCACUGUCUCUGCCCACCAUGAAAAAUGUCCAUUUCCUUUCCAACUGUCAUACCUGGAUGAUGUGAAGUCAGUCCUUUCUCUCAAGUUCUGAUACUAUUUCUUGUCGUUGGUGUAUCUGAUCUGAAAGCUAGUUUAUCUGCCAUCUGCUCACUGCCCAAAUGCACAUCCAAUAUACAAUGGUAAAGUCAAGGCAGGGUAAUACAUCCAAAAGAUACUGGUAGAGGAAAAGCAGGAUAAGACACUCUAUUUGGAAAAGGGGAAGAUUGGAAACCCAAUAGUCACUCUGCAACAGUGAAAUCCUGUGUGUAGGAAUCAUGAAGAUUUUUAUCCUGGUAGUUGAAGAAGUUCUUUGUUAGCCCUCCUGGCAAGCUUAUCCCCUGCCCUUGGGGAGGAAAUCACUUAUUCUCCAAGAUUUCUGGCUUUGUCCUUUGGGAGAUUGUUUAUUGUCUGUUAUUGCCCAUGGCCAGAUCUAAAGUGGGCAUUGAAAAGUAUAUCCUUUUCUUAGGGAUGGAUAGCUUUCUAAGCUGGCUUCCUGCUGGUGCAGGAAAAAGAGCCCAAGGGGUUGUCAUUGGAUUGAGUAAUUAUAGGCUUUUACAGUCCAGGUGUUAUGUGUGUGUAAUACAUACCUUCAAAAACGUAUUGGAUUUUAUCCCUAUUUGCGGUGAUUAGUUCCAAGUGAGAGUAACCAUAGUCAAACAUUAAUCAAGACAUAGUUGUGUGCAUUGGUUUGUUAGUUUUUUCCUAGCUAAGAAUGCUGGAUUUUAUUUUAUUUUUGUGUAUUUAUUUAUUUGAGAGAGAGUGAGGGAGCACGCAUGCAUGAGUGGGGGAGGAGC